rnacentral:lncRNA from 1 species
UCAUCGCACAAAAGAGCAACGACGUGCACGAGUAUGGACUUGGCAGCGGGCGUGGUGGACGGUACGCGCGAGGCACGGUGGUGCCGGUGGUCAGCCCACCCUGCAGGUUCGGCGAGAUGGUGGCAGACGUGACCCAGAAGAGAGAGGAGUUUGCCAAGGCGGAAGUGGCCUUCUGAUUGCUGCGAGGUACACCGCUGCUGAAUCGUACGUGGUAAUUUUUCUACUCCUUCUCUUCCUACCACCACCUAUCACCUAUGUAUGCAUUUUAAGUCGUGUGUUAUUUGUAUCCAAUAAUGUAAGUGAGAUGUUUACACGCGCAUAUCUAUCUUGUAUACUCGGUCUCUGAAAGGCAUGGCAGAUCAGGAUAGUGUGCAAAGGAACAGCAAGUGUUGUUGCAGGUGUAUGUGUUUUGUUUUUUGUUUUUUUUGUGCGGGGGUUGAAGGUGUAUGUGUUGGGAAUAAGAUUAUUUUUGUUCACAAAUACGAUGUCUAAUCGGUGUCGUAUUCGUACCCGAGUACGUUUGUCCCGUUCUCAAGUUGGUCGCUAUGUCUGACGGGCGAUGCAUGUUGCUUUUGACCACGGAAUCCGCCCAUGGCUCGACAAGCUCCACUAAGGGCUUGUUCGGUUAAUCCCCAUCAUAAGAGGAUUGAAGAGGAUUGAAGGGGAUUGAGAUGAAAUUUGACUUACAGGGGAUUGAGAUGUUUACACGCGCAUAUCUACCCGAUCGUCGAUCCCCAGGACAUUGGUCGAGGCGGGUUGGAGGUGCUCGCCGUUUGUCACCCCGACGACGACGUGGUGAACUCCGUCAUCAUCGCACAAAAGAGCAACGACGUGCACGAGUAUGGACUUGGCAACGGGCGUGGUGGACGGUACGCGCGGGGCACGGUGGUGCCGGUGGUCAGCCCGCCCUGCAGGUUCGGCGAGAUGGUGCCGGACGUGACCCAGAAGAGAGAGGAGUUUGCCAAGGCGGAAGUGGCCUUCUGAUUGCUGCGAGGUCACCAUCCGUAUGCCGCUGCUACCUUUCAAUAUCUUGCAAUCGUAGGUGGUGAUUUUCCUACUCUUGUUACGACCUUUCAAAUCAUAUGUUGUUUGUACCCAAUAAUGUAAGUGUGUUGCUUACACGCGCAUGUCUUGUACACUCGGUCUCUAGAAGGCAGGGCAGAUCAAGAGACUGUGCAAAGGAAAAGAAAUGUGUUGUUGUAGGUGUAUGAGUUGGGAGUAAGAUGAU